AUGGAUCACAACCGGGAGGUGCUCCGUUGGAACGUGCGGGGACUCAACAAUCCCGCAAAAAGGAAGGCGGUUAGGGCAUUCGUGGAGGCGGUGAAAGUCAACUUGGUGUGUUUCCAAGAUACAAAACUUCAUGUAAUCGAUCAAUAUGAUGUGAUGCAAUGUGUAUGACCAUCUUUUGAUGGGUUAGGUUAUUUGCCGACGUCAGAAACACGCGGUGGUGUGUUGUUGGCAUGGGAUUCCACGGUGAUGGAUGUGGACUGCUUGGUGUUGGACACUCAUAGCAUCACCGGCCGUGUUCACACGAGGGAUGGUAACUCUUGGUGGAUCACCGGAGUUUAUGGGCCGCAAGGAGAUGACGAGAAGCUCGCAUUCCUCAUAGAGGUAAGUGAUGGGGUUAUGUACCUAGGGUAG
rnacentral:rRNA from 1 species